UGUAGGUAGUGUGUCUACUCCGGUGCAGUGCAGUCUCUCCUGGAGCCAAGCCAGGGAACUGGAGUCUUAGUGUGUGUAGGUAGUGUGUGUAGGUAGUGUGUGUAGGUAGUGUGUGUAGGUAGUGUGUGUAGGUAGUGUGUGUAGGUAGUGUGUGUAGGUAGUGUGUAGGUAGUGUGUGUAGGUAGUGUGUAGGUAGUGUGUCUACUCCGGUGCAGUGCAGUCUCUCCUGGAGCCAAGCCAGGGAGCUGGAGUCUUAGUGUGUGUAGGUAGUGUGUGUAGGUAGUGUGUGUAGGUAGUGUGUGUAGGUAGUGUGUGUAGGUAGUGUGUGUAGGUAGUGUGUGUAGGUAGUGUGUGUAGGUAGUGUGUAGGUAGUGUGUCUACUCCGGUGCAGUGCAGUCUCUCCUGGAGCCAAGCCAGGGAACUGGAGUCUUAGUGUGUGUAGGUAGUGUGUGUAGGUAGUGUGUGUAGGUAGUGUGUGUAGGUAGUGUGUGUAGGUAGUGUGUGUAGGUAGUGUGUGUAGGUAGUGUGUAGGUAGUGUGUGUAGGUAGUGUGUAGGUAGUGUGUGUAGGUAGUGUGUCUACUCCGGUGCAGUGCAGUC